AUCGCUUCUCGGCCUUUUGGCUAAGAUCAAGUGUAGUAUAGUUGUAAGCUUUAACCUAUGGUCCAAACCUGU
rnacentral:snRNA from 1 species